UAAUUUUGGUGACUUAUUAUGUAAAUAUUAUUAUACCACUAUCUUUAAUGCAGGUCAAAUGAUUAAAGUAAAAUAUUAUUGUAAUAAAUUUAAAAUGAAAAUAAAUGGGUCAAGUUACUAUCGAUUUAGAAGCAUUACGGAACCUGUCAGUCACAGUACAAAUCAAAGCAUAACGUCAUUUACCUGGGCAUAACGUGACACGACGUAGGUAGCCCAAGAAGCAGGUCCCAAGUUCGCCAGUUUAAUGAGAACUAUACAGCCAUUUGAAAUGUGUUAUUUUGGUUUAUGAUUUUGUGUGAACGAAGUUGAGAUGGAGGUCAAGUUGUGGUGGUGCUGGAAGCGUCAAUGUCACUUAUGUGUUUAACCCGGCGAAUGGAUGGAGGAAAUGAUGAAUGGAACAGCUCCCGGGCCGUUGCUGAAACGCGGUCGAUCUAUGAAGAACUACAUCUAGCUGCUGCAACCAAUUCAAAUUUUAUAUUAUGCUUUAAGAUAAUUGUUUUUAUAUUUUCAAGUCUGUACUUUUUUGAAUAGAUUUCACAAACACUUUCACCAGUUCAAUUAUAAAUAAGAAGUAUAGUACAAUUGAUUAUGUAAGACUUUUUAUAUGAUUCAUAAUUAAAUUUCGUAGUUACAAAGGUAUUGAAAAAUUUUAUCCCUCGGAAUCUUUUAUUUUGCUGCAUAAAAUGUAACCUUUGUGCUAUUCCGGUUUGUAAUCCUUAUUUGUGCUUAAUUUUAUAUAGAUCCGUUAAGACCUUC